AUUCACUUUUAUUGACCACGAAAACAUACAAAUGAACAGGAUUCAGGCUAAACACAAAGCUAUGCAACUACAACUACCCACAAUACCCCAUACAAAACAACCCCUAUACAUAGGACCUUCAAUCAGAGGCAACUAGAAACAGCUGCCUCCAAUUGAAGGUCAAAUCAAUAAACUGAAAAUAGACGUAAACAACCUAGAACUAACAUAGAAUACACUAACCUAGAACCUAAACCUAAAACCCCGGUACACUCUAAACCAACACCCCUCUACAUAAACACAUAGCCCAAAAACCCCGAAACACUCUAAACAAAUACCCCUUCUACAUGAACACAUAAUAUAACAAAGCCCUAAACACUCUAAACAAAUACCCCCUGCCACGUCCUGACCAAGCUACAAUAACAAAUGAUCCAUUUACUGGUCAGGACGUGACAUCCAUUCCAUUCCAUUGUUAGUUUACCUUUAUUUCCUCUGUCACAUUCGUGUGGUUGUUCUGAGGAUCAUAUUAGGCUAGCUUAUUACAAGUUGUGCAAUAAUUUGGGACAUGUAGGAUAUUUGAAUCAUUAUGGAACACAGACCAUAGGUAGCAGUUUAACCCUAGAGCCUGGUGCACGGUUCACGACGACUGGACCGUUGUAAUAACAGUUCCAGUAUUAGUGAGGAUUAUUAGGGUAGAUUUAUAGGACUACUGUUGUAUCUUACUACAGUAUGUAUCUUGUUUGUGUGUGUGUGUGUGUUCAGGGAGAAAAGGCAGUUCCGGGUGUACAUAGUGAUGCCUCUGCUACCCAGAUUUGAAGGCGACAUCUCCUCAGGAGGGGGCCAAGCCAUCAAAGCCAUCAUGUACUUUAAUUACAGGACCAUGUGCCGGGGAGAUCACAUCGAGAGACUGAAAUGUUGGAAGCCUGCUGGAUCAACUACAUCUCGUUCUGUGGGCUGAGGACUCAUGCUGACCUGGACGACAGACUAGUCACUGAGCUGAUCUAUGUCCACAGCAAACUGGUCAUAGUGAACAAUCACACCAUCAUCCUCAGUCAGCUCAGCCAACAUCAACGACAGAAGCAUGCUGGGUAAGCGCGACAGUGAGAUGGCGGUGGUGGUGGAGGACUCGGACAUGGUAAUGGCUGUGAUGGACGGAGAGAGCUACCAGGUUGGGAGGUUUGCCUUGUCACUCAGAGAAGAGUGUUUCAGGUCAUUCAAAUUAAUAAGAAAAAGUGGGGUAAAUUGAGUUGUUUUAACAUUCAGCAGCACUCCUUCAAAGGAAAUAUAAUUUUCUUUCUAACAAAGAC
rnacentral:lncRNA from 1 species